GUGCUCACUUCAGCAGCACAUUUACUAAAAUUGGAACGAUACAAAGAAGAUUUGCAUGGUCCCUGCACAAGGAUGACAGGUAAAUUUGUGAAGCAUUCCAUAUUUUU
ensembl:snRNA U6 U6 spliceosomal RNA